GACGAACGCUGGCGGCGUGCUUAACACAUGCAAGUCGAACGGAAAGGCCCUUCGGGUACACGAGUGGCGAACGGGUGAGUAACACGUGGGUGAUCUGCCCUGCACUUUGGGAUAAGCCUGGGAAACUGGGUCUAAUACCGGAUAGGACUACGCACUGCAUGGUGUGUGGUGGAAAGCUUUUGCGGAGUGGGAUGGGCCCGCGGCCUAUCAGCUUGUUGGUGGGGUGAUGGCCUACCAAGGCGACGACGGGUAGCCGGCCUGAGAGGGUGUCCGGCCACACUGGGACUGAGAUACGGCCCAGACUCCUACGGGAGGCAGCAGUGGGGAAUAUUGCACAAUGGGCGCAAGCCUGAUGCAGCGACGCCGCGUGGGGGAUGACGGCCUUCGGGUUGUAAACCUCUUUCAGCACAGACGAAGCGCGAGUGACGGUAUGUGCAGAAGAAGGACCGGCCAACUACGUGCCAGCCGCCGCCGUAA
rnacentral:rRNA from 1 species